rnacentral:lncRNA from 1 species
CUCAGUCGGAAAUUUUGAUCGGAAAAGAAGCUGUUUUCGCCGGAGAGGAGAAUUUUCCCCGGUGACAAGACCCUUUUUCUUCUUUGACUGGAAGGUGAGUCAGUCCAGUCGAUGAAAGAGAGAGAGAGAGAGAGAGAGAGAGAGAGAAAAGUUGGUUUGAAUCCAUGUAUUAAAUAAGAAUAAAUAAAGGUCUUCGGGAACUCAGGUUGGUGCUGUUGGGUGCUGAUGAUUGCAAGAGUUGGCGUCGCAUGGACCAUCUACAGAGCAAAAACCGGCAAAAACGUUUACUCCGUCGGAAAUUUUGAUCGGAAACGAAGCUGUUUUCGCCGGAGAGGAGAAUUUUUCCCCGGUGACAAGACCCUUUUUCUUCUUUGACUAGAAGGUGAGUCAGUCCAGUCGAUGAAAGAAAGGGAGAGAGAGAAAGAAAAGUUAGUUUGAAUCCAUGUAUUAAAUAAGACUAAAUAAUUGAAUUAAAAUACAGGCACUGGAGCUGGAGCACACCACGCCGUUCUUCCUUCGCAUUCCGAAGAAACGUGAUUAAUUUUUCAUUAAACAAAUGAACUUUUGAUUGUGUCAAUCGAAAACGAUGUACGGACACAGAGGAAACGAUCAUGAUAUGAUGAUGAUGAUACAUGGUCUCCCCCUAG